rnacentral:lncRNA from 1 species
GCGAAGCUUGUGAUUCCUAUGAAUGCAUUGAGACAGGUGACCAGUCAAGAUCUUAAUUGGCGAGGAAUGAGCGAAGCCAUUCAUGCUUGGCCACGGAAUUUAGUGAGGUAUCUGCAAGUGAUCCUUUAUACUUGGACACACUAUCCAUCAUUGGGAACUCUCCCCUUCAACGUGUUCUGAGCUAGGUGGCACUUUCUUGUGCUACCAUGUUAUACCAUUUACAUGUAUCCUUAUGAGUUAUGACUUAUGAGGCGAGCCGUCUGGUUUUGUGUUUCCUCCAAUUGAUCAUUUAUGUAAGGAAAGGCUUGUAAAACACUCUUAAAUGAUCAUAUCAAGGAAGAUCAUGUUUCCAGAUGAAUAUAGCACAAAGGAAGGUAUCUGAAAGCAAUCCUUUGUACUUGGACACAUUAUCCAUCAUCAACAACUAUUCCCCUUCAUGUGUUUUGAGCUGGGUGACACUUUUUUGUGCCAUUAGACCAUCUCAUCUUGCAUUUCAACAUGUAUCCUUCUCACUUAUGAGGCGAGCCAUCUAGUUUUGUGCUUCGUCCACUUGAUUGUUUAUGUAAUAAAAGGAUUUGCAAAAUAUUUUUC